ACCGGCGCCGUGUCCCGUCAUUCGUGUGGCUUAUGCUGCUGUUGCCUUUAAGUGCUUGCGUGCUGGUACCCGACCUACGGGAAGUGGUGCUUCGUACACGGUUAACUCGCGGCUUACACCUCCGGGUGUGAUGCUGCGGCCUGCUAGCGCUCGCGGCGUUUCCUCGUGGCCGUCACGCUUAAGUGCUGUGUGCUACCAAGGCAACCUCGCUCUCGCUGUUGGUCUCGGAUGCUGCUCACGAUAUAGUGUCAUGGCCCUUCUGGAUGUCUCGACACGACCCCCUCGAGACCUGCUCUCCGAAUUUGAGAACACCCGUGAACAGGUGUUGCCUCUACCUCUCCACAGUUAGUGGUAGGAUUACGCAACAUUCUGCGCCGAUCCUCAAUCAAGUAGGACGAGCUUGACCC
rnacentral:misc_RNA from 1 species